GAAGCUCAGAGAAGAGAAGCAAAAAAGGCUGCUGAAAGGGAGGCCAAUGAAGCAUCAAGCCAGGCUGCUGUUCAGAAGGAAGCUUUAGGAUUGCAAACUAAAGCCAAAACCAAGGAAUCUGAAUUUGAAAAACCAAUAAAUUCAGCAUCAGUAGGGGCUAUUGGUGGUAGGUGACAUUACUAAAGCUGCAGAAGCUGCACUAAAGUUGGAGCGUGAAAGAUUAAAAAAGUUGGAAGACUUGGAUGAAGGAAACAAGGCAUUAGGAUUGAAUGUAAAUAAGGAGGUUUCUACUGGUGUGAAAAAGUUAUUGAGGGAAUCGUCUGGCCAGUACAGCGACUUCAGUAUUCUUUCCUCUUUAAAUUCUCAGGUGUGUAGAUGUGACUGGAGCUUACAGUGCUCUAAAGACGGAGCUUAACAUAAGCUUGACAGCAAUAGGCCUUUUGUGGACUACAACUGGCUUUAUUGCAAAGAGGAUUACACAUGGACCUGUGGAAGAAAGGGAAACAGGUAUAUGACAAGUGCACAACAAAUGGACUCACAACAAAGACAAGUGCACAAAGGAUGAUGAAUUGAAGGAUGGAGCAAGUUUCAUGCAUGGUUUACUUUUGUGUAUCUUGUAAUUUUUUGUUUUUCAUUUUUGAAGUAAAAAAUGUUCAAGAUUAUAAAAAUUUAUUAUGUUAUGCUUUCAAACUUAAGUUAGAACUAAGAUCUCAUGAAAUAGACACAUUCAGAGUUUGAAUUAGUUAUUGUUUAAUGUAAUACUUAUGGUUUAUCAAUCUAUUGAGAAUUAUAUUUUAUGAUUAA